AUACUGAUAAGCGAAGGGGUUUCUUUGUGGCGUUUGGUAGGAACACACAAAGAGCCCCGGAGGACAAAGAGCUCUUAUCAGUGGAUGCUCCGCGCCGCUCCCAUUGUUCGUUUCGCUUUCAGUUCACUUAUU
ensembl:snoRNA T21B4.20 ncRNA